GAGAAAGACCUGGAAUUUGACUUGUACUAUUAUGACGGACUAGCCAAUCAACAGGAGGAGAUCCGUCUCACUGUCUCUGUUGGCAAAUUGGCCACGAGCUGUCAGGAUGCUGACACUGAUCUCAUUCCUCCACUAGAGCACUGUAUCCGAACAAGGUGGAAAGAUGCAUUUGUCAAUUGGAAUGACACAGAGCCUAUUCUCUGAUCAGAUGGUUUAAUUAUGGUUAGGGGCAUUAACCAACUAUCACCAUUUUUGCUUCACCAGUACAGUUAUUUUAGCAUAUACUCUUAUUUUCUGCAUAUUCUGUGUUUUCUUCAUAUUUAUCUAUACAUUUAAUCAUUGCCAUUGAUUUCUCUUUCUGCUAUUUGAGGUCCCCAACCUUUCUUCUUGGAGCCCCACCUACUUGUAGAUUUUUAAAAAAGCAGAUUUUAUACCAUGCAGCCCAAAAUACACAAAAUCCUGCUGUCUGUUCUGCUGUGUUCUCUCUGCUCUGCACCUUGUGUGCUAUGCUCUGCACUGACACCCAGCAGCAGUCCAGUGGCCUGAAGCAGU